UGGCUCAGAUUGAACGCUAGCGGGAUGCCUUACACAUGCAAGUCGAACGGCAGCACGGACUUCGGUCUGGUGGCGAGUGGCGAACGGGUGAGUAAUGUAUCGGAACGUGCCUAGUAGCGGGGGAUAACUACGCGAAAGCGUAGCUAAUACCGCAUACGCCCUACGGGGGAAAGCAGGGGAUCGUAAGACCUUGCACUAUUAGAGCGGCCGAUAUCGGAUUAGCUAGUUGGUGGGGUAACGGCUCACCAAGGCGACGAUCCGUAGCUGGUUUGAGAGGACGACCAGCCACACUGGGACUGAGACACGGCCCAGACUCCUACGGGAGGCAGCAGUGGGGAAUUUUGGACAAUGGGGGAAACCCUGAUCCAGCCAUCCCGCGUGUGCGAUGAAGGCCUUCGGGUUGUAAAGCACUUUUGGCAGGAAAGAAACGUCGUGGGUUAAUACCCCGCGAAACUGACGGUACCUGCAGAAUAAGCACCGGCUAACUACGUGCCAGCAGCCGCGGUAAUACGUAGGGUGCAAGCGUUAAUCGGAAUUACUGGGCGUAAAGCGUGCGCAGGCGGUUCGGAAAGAAAGAUGUGAAAUCCCAGAGCUUAACUUUGGAACUGCAUUUUUAACUACCGAGCUAGAGUGUGUCAGAGGGAGGUGGAAUUCCGCGUGUAGCAGUGAAAUGCGUAGAUAUGCGGAGGAACACCGAUGGCGAAGGCAGCCUCCUGGGAUAACACUGACG
rnacentral:rRNA from 1 species